GCUUCCUUGGCUCAGUUGGUUAGAGCGCCGGUCUCAUACUUGCUUAUGACCGUUGAACAACGGGUGAUCCGGAGGCCGUGAGUUCAAGUCUCACAGGGAGCA
rfam:Jaapia argillacea MTCL 33604 unplaced genomic scaffold JAAARscaffold_7, whole genome shotgun sequence.